rnacentral:rRNA from 2 species
GGUGAAUCUGAAUAACUAUGCCGAUCGCACAGUCCUCGUAACUGGCGACGUAUCUUUCAAAUGUCUGCCUUAUCAACUUUCGAUGGUAGUUUACACGGCUACCAUGGUUUUAACGGGUAACGGAGAAUUAGGGUUCGACUCCGGAGAGGGAGCCUGAGAAACGGCUACCACAUCC